rnacentral:rRNA from 1 species
UACGGAGGAUGCGAGCGUUAUCCGGAUUUAUUGGGUUUAAAGGGUGCGUAGGCGGGAUGCCAAGUCAGCGGUAAAAAUGCGGUGCUCAACGCCGUCGAGCCGUUGAAACUGGCGUUCUUGAGUGGGCGAGAAGUAUGCGGAAUGCGUGGUGUAGCGGUGAAAUGCAUAGAUAUCACGCAGAACUCCGAUUGCGAAGGCAGCAUACCGGCGCCCUACUGACGCUGAGGCACGAAAACGUGGGUAUCGAACAGG